UGAACCUAGAAACCAAACAGAGAACAGACAUCACUGGAAGUUACUGAGGUUACCUUGCCCUUCCGAUCUUCUUUCAGAGCCCUGAUAAGCCAUCCAUGCGAUUGCUGCUGCCGUACCAGUUUCCCUCGCAGCCCUAAUGAAACCUGGGUGAAACCUAUGGAGCUUCCCUCCUGGUACUUCGUUAUCCAGGUACGGUGACACUGAACAUCAGCCGUCCCUGCCCACAGCAGCUCGGAGCUGUGGGAGCAGUGGGGCAGCCACCUCGCCAUGCCUGCGUUUUCAGCCCAGGCUGCCCAGAGCCGUGGAGCUGACAUGCUUCCAGCACUGCAGAUGCUGGCACGGCCGCUCUGCCCAGACAGCAGCUGAGCUCUGCAGCGAUCCGUGUCCUGACAUGAGCCGAGCUGCAGAGGAAAUGACUGGUAACAAGAACUGGCUCCAUGUUUUGGGUGUUGCCCUGCACUUAGGUUGCAAUAGAACGAUCCCAUUUUCUAUUUCUGCAGGAGAAGCAAAUUGCGUUCGAAGAAGUACGGCAGAUGGGGACAAUUCUUCCAUGAUUUUGUGGAUAUACAAGACUCAGCUUGAUUCUCCUUGAAUCCUAUCUGGUUGGAAGAGAAAAGCAUAACUGGUUCUUCUCCCCUCUCCUAACCUAAGAGACUCCAGGAAGUGUUUAGCCAGCAGAAGAGGCACAGUGACAAUUACUUACAGGAUCAUUCUUGCCCAGCUGAAUGCGAUACCGAGUAAUGAAAGUCGGCUUUCCUGUUACAUCAGCCACCAUAAGGAUUCCAUUGAAGCACCAGAAAGCAAGGCUAGGAACCAACGCAGCCCCUGUGACACGAGGAAAGGUCAGAGAAAUACUUCUCCUCAAGUCCUUUGUUCUAACAAUCUUACCAAGAAGCAGAGUUCAUGAAGGCAGUGAAUACGAGCAGGCCUGUACCAAGGACCAUGGCAGAGGUCUUCACGGCAUCCCGGAGCUUCUCUUCCUGUGAGCAAGCAACAAGAAUGCGGCCCUAAUCUACUACUUACCUAAUAUACAGCGUCCUAUUAUGAACGAAGCUCUGAGAACCAUGGAAUCAUUAAGGUUGGAAAAGACCUCCAAGAUCAUCUAGUCCAACUGAAGAAGUGAGGGUGUUACUUGACAUAAGUUACCAGAUUUAUUUUUCCACUCAAGAAAAGACAAGGACCAUCUCCUCUCCCUCACGGUUAGCUUUGCAUGGCCAUACAUGCGUGAAGCAAUAUAUGCUGUUGUAAGCAACGUCUCAGGCUAGCAGUAGUUAAUGCUGCAGAGAGAUCUGCAAGCACGAAUAGUGGUGGUGCCUUGUUGUCUCUGCCUGAUUUCUUGCACCUACCACUAUAUCUAUAUUUUUAUCAAUUAACUUUUUCUUGAAGGAAUAUUCCUGAACUCCCCUCCCAACCAGUGCUGUUUGUCAUCAGUAUGGUGAACAUUUGUUGUUGUUUCAUUUCAGAUUUAGAACCUUUGCUGUUUUCAUCAAUGCUUUCUCUUGACUAAUGGGAUCUAUUCCCUAGUGGGGAAAGAGUUUUUUUAGUUCUCAGCUGUUGCUACUAAUUGUUAUUUACUGUAGACAGCAGACUCAACAGGGAGCAAUGCAAUUGCUCCAAACUAUUUGCACAUGUACAGAGGAGGAAGUGGGAACUGGCAUCUCAAGAGCAUGAAUGCUGUCCCGUCCUUUAUUUGGACUCGAUCUUGCACUGGGAGGGCUGUUCAUCCAGUAUCCUAAAGAAUGUGAUAAGCCAGUGAAUUUCACAGACCUCAGUGUUCUUUUUUAACCUCUGUUCAAUUCAGACACGGGUUAUAUCUGAAAGAUUUAUGCCCAGUAGGAACAGACAGAUUAGAGUAUUAGUCAUAAGGAUGUAAACUUCAUUUACCUGCUGCAGCAAGUCUGGGUCUAGUGCAGGUCAGCAGUAAUCUAAAAGCUGCUUCUGUUUGUUGGUUAGCCUGUGUCCUAAACUGGUACCGUCACUAGAAACCCUCCAGUUAAUGCAAUCCCUGUCGAGGCUCAGCUCUGAGGAACGCACAAAGUCUGAUUUUCUCUUAGUAGAAACGCUUUUUUGAUCAGACACUUCAUAAAAUAACUUCUCUUUGUUAAAGGUGAUAACUUUCUGCCAAUUUAGCAUGUUGCAUGAAUUACACAACCUGAGUGAAGUUCUGAGCUGAAGAGGCAAAAUGGUAACUAUCACCUACAAAGAUAAACGUUGAAUCAAAAUAGAGUUCAGAAGAUGCUGACAGCAUCAAGGUCACUUGAUAGAGAGCAGUGUCCAGAAAAAAAACCUCUCCAUUUACAUCCGCAUUUCUGCUGAGGUAUGAAUGCUAAACCUGAGAGACUGAACUAUGCCUGAAGUGUAAGAGAUACCAAGAUUUGUUUUUUUUUCCAGGUACUUUUAUUUAUCUAAAUGGUAAUCAGGCUGCUGAGUCAAUGAAAGCUUCCAGCUGACCCCGAACGCUGGGCAGAUAGCAAUUCUGAAGCACUAUGAGAAAUGCAAUCCAUUUUUAAUAGAUGCAACCCUGUCCGAGGAGGCUGGCAGCCUAAAAGCGAGGAAAUACUAUUUAAGCGUUAUAAUUUGUAGACAGGCUUCCAAAUCAAUCACAUAUCUGCCAUCAGCCAGCAAAGCAGCGGUGCCGGCAGCUGCGUGACACCAGAAGCCGUGUUGGGCUGUUUUAGUGAAGUUUUGGUGUUAAUGUGACUUAAAUAACGUUUCUGGAACAGAAGCCAGCUGAGAGCUGGCGGACGGGGACACCACAGCGACCGCCGAGGCGAGGCGGCGCUGGCAGGGUCGGGCCGUGCCCAGGGUGACAAAGGCCCGCACCCUGCUGCCUCCCCCCGCCCGCAGCCUUUGGACUCGCCCAAGCUCCGCGCUCUGGGAGCGCCGGGCGAGCCCAUCGCCCUCGCGUGCAGGGGGAGCGC